rnacentral:rRNA from 1 species
GAGUUUGAUCCUGGCUCAGGAUGAACGCUAGCGGCAGGCCUAACACAUGCAAGUCGAGGGGCAGCACGGGAAGCUUGCUUCCUGGUGGCGAGCGGCGGACGGGUGAGUAAUGCAUAGGAAUCUGCCCGAUAGUGGGGGAUAACCUGGGGAAACUCAGGCUAAUACCGCAUACGUCCUACGGGAGAAAGCAGGGGAUCUUCGGACCUUGCGCUAUCGGAUGAGCCUAUGUCGGAUUAGCUAGUUGGUGAGGUAAUGGCUCACCAAGGCGACGAUCCGUAGCUGGUCUGAGAGGAUGAUCAGCCACAUCGGGACUGAGACACGGCCCGAACUCCUACGGGAGGCAGCAGUGGGGAAUAUUGGACAAUGGGGGCAACCCUGAUCCAGCCAUGCCGCGUGUGUGAAGAAGGCCUUCGGGUUGUAAAGCACUUUCAGUGAGGAAGAAGGCCUCGGGCUUAAUACGUCCGAGGGAGGACAUCACUCACAGAAGAAGCACCGGCUAACUCCGUGCCAGCAGCCGCGGUAAUACGGAGGGUGCGAGCGUUAAUCGGAAUUACUGGGCGUAAAGCGCGCGUAGGUGGCGUGAUAAGCCGGUUGUGAAAGCCCCGGGCUCAACCUGGGAACGGCAUCCGGAACUGUCAUGCUAGAGUGCAGGAGAGGAAGGUAGAAUUCCCGGUGUAGCGGUGAAAUGCGUAGAGAUCGGGAGGAAUACCAGUGGCGAAGGCGGCCUUCUGGACUGACACUGACACUGAGGUGCGAAAGCGUGGGUAGCAAACAGGAUUAGAUACCCUGGUAGUCCACGCCGUAAACGAUGUCGACUAGCCGUUGGGAGCCUCGAGUUCUUAGUGGCGCAGUUAACGCG